rnacentral:lncRNA from 1 species
UUGGUUAUCAGAAGACUAAGAAAAGUGGCUUCCACAAAGCUUCAGAGAGCCAGAAGCAAUAGUGUGGCUUUUGGAGCCACAAGUACACCAGGUCUUGCUCUGUCACCCAGGCUGGAGUGCAGUGGUGUGACCUCGGCUUACUGCAGCCUCGAACUCCCAGGCUCAAGCGAUCCUCUCACCUCAGCCUCCCCAGGAGCUGGGACUACAGAUACUACUGAUCUGUGGUUGGUUGAAUCUAUGGAUGUGGAACCCAUGGAUAUGGAAGGCCGACUGUGCUAUGAAUCUAGGAGGCAGAGCGUCCAGAGAUGCUGCAGAGGGUAUUUCUAUAUUGUGAGGGAGAUUGGAUUAAAUGUUAUUUAAGAAAAUGCUAUGAAUCAAAUAGCCUUCCUGGCUUUUAAAGGAUCAUAGAUGCAGCAUGAAUGAGGAAUGUUAGAAACAUUUAGCCCAGUCCCAGUUAAGAGAGCAAUCCUUUCUAGGGCUUUUUUCUUCUUUUUUUUGAGACAGAGUCUCGCUCUGUUGCCCAGGCUGGAGUGCAGUGGUGUGAUCUCAGCUCAAUGCAACCUCCCUCUGGGGCAUUAUUGACAUAUGAGCAGCUGGCUUACAUUUGAAUGCCCCAGGGCCAGAGGGCAAAGUAAUUUACCAG